rnacentral:misc_RNA from 1 species
CACUUGGGUGGCGUGCGCGCACAAAUCCAGACCGUGCUUUCUCGUUUCUUCGGCGGUACGAGAGCCGUUGCGAGCACCGAAGCUGUCUGCCACGCUGCUAGAUUGCGGGACUCCGCCACUAGUGACGCUGCGAGACACCAUCGAAGGACUAAGCCGCCUCCUCACCGCAGCCCCCUCCAGCCGCUCUCCCUUUCUUUGUGUUUCGCUUUUUCUACCCCAACGUAUUUCCGACGCAACACAUUUGGCGUACGCACGGGCGUGGCUACACGAGAGCUGCAGCGCGUGACUCUUGAGAGAGAGACCUAUACCUCUUCUUGGCAUUCACUGCUGUCGACCACACGCACAGACACACGCACACACCCAUCUUCGGUGACUGCACCUGCAGCGACGUCGCACACUCCCAGCUUUCCUCUUCUCUCGCCCUGCGCGCUUUCCUCUUCCCGCCGCCCCCUCUGCACGUUUUUACACACGACCUCGCAAUAAUGCCUAGCAUCGACAUCGAUGUGACGAGUGUGCCGGACAUUAUUGAGGCACAACUCACGCUCAGCUACAGCCGUCUCACUGAUGUGAUACGCGUCUUAGUGGAGCAAGGAAACGGCCAUGAGGACGACAUUGAUGAGAUCCGCGACCGUCUUGGGAAGUUGACGCAGGAGAACAGCGCCUUGCGUGCUGAGAUUCAGGCCCUCAAGCAGGCGAGAGGCCCCGGCGAGGAGGUGACUACCGCGCUCGAGGAUCUCAAGUCGACGGUGGCUCAGCUCUCGGAGAAGGUUGCGGCCAACACAGAGCACAUCGCGGCCAGCGACGCGGCACAAAAGGCGUAUGCGGCCGAUGCGGAGAAGCAUUCGGAUGAGCAGCAUGACGCCAUGAGGGCCACCUUCAACCGGCACGCCGAUGUGGUAGGGCAACGCGUGUCCGCCACUGAGAAGUCGCUGCAUGCGCUGCAGGCCUUUGUCGAUCUGUGGGGUGCGGGGCCGGAGCAGGUGUUAGAGAUGGGCCGGCGGACCGAUAACCAGGAGAUGGAGCACAGCCUUGUGGACCGGACCCGGUAUGUUCUUUCACUGCCCUCUUUCGCAAAGAUACAGGAGGAGAUGGAGGUGCUGCGGGCGCUACUGCAGCGUCAAGCGGCCGACGCGCUCGCGGCCAAGACGAGCGAGGCCGCGCGGACAAGUCGCACAGCCUCGUAUGUGGCUGCAAUGGCCGCCCCAGCGGAGGCGGCAGAUCACUCGGGCGAGAUUGAGACCCUCAACGGCGCGAUGCGCUUUCUGGAGCAGGACAUGGCGGCGCUGCAGCAGCAGCGUUUGCCGCCAUUGGAGUCGGCAGUGCGCGAGUUGCAGGGGCGCGCCAACCCAGAGAAGCGCAUCAGCGGCACGGAGAAGGACGUAAACCGCUUGAACGACCAUCUCGCUCAGCUCGAGGACCGUCUCAACACGCUGCUGGGCCAAACUGGGGCGACGAAGGAAGGUGGCGUGGAUGAGUCCCACCCUGGUCUGGUAGACCUGGCUCGUCGCGUCUCGCUUUUAGAGGAGACGGUGGAGGGCUGUCCGCGUGGCAAGCACACCACGCCAACGUCCUACGGCCCAGCAGCUGGGGGUGAGGCGUUGAUCGCAGACGGGGCUGCCGCAGCGGCGCCAGUGCGUACUUUAUCGCGCAAUCGGGGUAGUAUCCCUGCCGCCGGACGUCCGCCUUCGGGUCGCGUGGGCAGCAUUGGCGUCCUGCCGGCAGUUGCCAAGGAGGCCCUGAGCGGCAGCAGCACUCUGGCUGAAGGCGGGUUGGUGUCGCCGCCGCCCCACCUUGCGUCUUCUGUGACUUGCAGCUUCAACUCAAACGAGCGUGAACAGCCGACGGUGGAGGUGCUGCGCCGGCAGGAGGCAUCGCAGCCCGACGUUGCCGCUGAUCGCAGACGCAUUUCGGUAGCGGUAGAACCAGAUGACGGUCUGCGCCUCCGCGUCACCCAGCUAGAGGAGAAUGCAGCCAUCCUGGAGGUGAACAAGGCAGACCGCAGGGAGCUGCGUGAGCUGGAGGAGGCGCUACGCAGUGCUCUUGAAAGCUCGCAUCACGUACAUCAACAAUAUCAACAGCAUCAGCAGCAUCAACAGCAUCAACAGCAUCAGCAGCAUCAGCAGCAUCUGCCGCCGCUGCAGCAGGCCCUGCCCUCGAGCUCGGCCUACAAUGCGCCGCCGCUGGUGCCGCAGCGUCCCGUCUCAGCAAAUGGCCGGUACUCUGUUCCCGAAUACGCACCAAAUCAGCAGCGUGGGGACGGCUUUAGUAGGCCGACCUCCGCGACGGCAGGACUGGGCCGUCCCAUGUUCGUCGGCUCUUCAUCGUCGGUGUACCUGCGCGACGGAGCGCAGCUCACGAACGCCACGGUAUCGCCAACGCACUUGUAUCGGCAGUGAGGAUGUGGUGCGUGUGAGCGGAAAAGCGAGCAGGCGAGUGGCAAGAGCGUAUGAAGAUGUGCGCAGAGACAACGCUCAGAGCAAGCGUUCCUUCUUUUUUUUUCUUUCUCUCUCUUCUCUCUGUAUUUGCUGCGGUGCUCGAGCGGGCCGAGUGACGUUGGCAGAGCGGGUGUGGGAAGAGGAGGUGCUGCUCUGGGCCAUCGCUGCUCUCCGCUCUGGUGGGAAUGCGCCUGCGCACAUCUCUGCCUCUCUGCGUGUUUCACAGCGGCAGCUGGCUGACUUACAGAGGCGAGCGCACACAGACACACCCAAACACAGGUACUUGUCUCCACUGCUACUAACGCUCUGCAUCGCCCCCCCCUCCUUCUCGCUCGCACUCUCCCUUGCAGGCGGGUGUGUAUAGGCUUCGCAGUACUACCUUGCUUUCAUUUCCUUUUGUGUUUCUCGUAGGUGUUCGCCAUCUUUUCAUGCUUGGGUCUGGUGCCUUUCCAGUAUCACCUCGCUUCCCCUCCCUCCUCCUGCACGUUUAUCGUGAGUCUCUUCUUCUGUGCUUUCGAGGCUCGAUCUCUGCGUCGCCUUGUUUCAACGUCGCUGCGUGUGCGUGUCUGCGUGCGGCACGGGCUGCGAUUCUUCGUCUUAUCACUCGAAGCUCUCUUCGUUUGUUACUUGUCUUCUUCACCGCCGCGCUCUGGCGGCACUCGGGAAGACGCGCGCGCACGCACGCAACACCAUACCUCCUUGUACUGCCUCUAUUACUACUACUUCUCCUUUAUGUAUACUACACGUAAAAGCGGUGAAGGUGCGAAAGGACGCAUGAGGGGGGGGGAGAGAGAGAGACAGGGGCAGAUAAGACAAAGGCUCUUCACGCCACCAGAGGGAAGGAAUGACGAGUGGGCCAACAUACCCACAAGGCCUCUGCACCUGAUGUGAAUCGUGGCAGACGACGGAGACAGCGGCUUGUAGGAAAGCGAGUACCGCCACACCGCAAAAUACGUCCGCAGCCAACAUCUGCCUUCCCCACGGUUGCCUGCAGGUUGCAAGGCACGUUCUCCUCCCCCAUCUCCUGUCGUUCUAGUUUCUUCAGCUGCAGCUGCGUGCACCGGGGUGGGGGUGGGGUGAGAAGAAAGAGAAGACGACGACAAUCAGCAGGUGCGGCCCUUGCUAGAGGCGCGACUUUCAGCACUCUGUUUGCUAGGAUCGCCUUUUCCCUCUUGAUCACUGUUUGCGCCGCCCUUUCCCUGCACGCGGCCGCCUCCUUCUUACAUCUUUCUUAUUGUCUGUAUCAUCGCCGCCUCCUCCUUUUCGCUCCCCAGGUUUCGGUCUUUCUGUUUUCCCGUAUGUACAGGCUGUGUGCUGUGGCACAGAAAUAAACGCGCUUUUACCAUCUCUAUAUAUAUUUUUUCUCUUCUGUUGUUCUUGUGUAGCCUACCGUGCGUGUAUGUGUGGGGCCUGUGUGCGAGCAUGCAAACGGCUUCCGCCCCUCUUUUCGGCCCCGUGUGCGUCGCUCUCCUCCGCUGUCUCCUCCUCCUCAGCGCCUCUUCCCCCCUCUUCACUUGCUUCGUUCCCGCAAGCAAGGGAAGCACACAGUGAGCCCACGAGUUGCACACACGGCAACAAGAAAAGCGAAGGAAAAAAAAG